AUGGUGAGACCGGAGGAAGACUUGGAUUGGGUCCACUGUUCCUGGGCCAGUGUCUGUCAGCCAGGUGCCCAGCCCCCAGUGCACUGAAGCUCAGGCCCUUCCCGGCGCCCUGGUCUCCUGCACUGAGCUUGGUGAGCACAUCCGGGUCCUGCUGGAUACAUGCACAAGGAGGGGGAUGUCUUAGGUUGGGUCAAUGAUGAGAACCUUAUAUUGUCGUGAAGAGAGGUGAUGACUUAAAAAUCAUGCUCAAUAGGAUUACGCUGAGGCCCAGCCUAGGGGAUAAUGUCGGAAGAGGAUGCUGGGCUCCCAAGAUCCUGGCAGGGCCACAUUUAUUUUGAGCUAGCGAACUUGAGGACCUGAAGAACAUCUUUCUUGGGUGUGGGGACAACCCUGUCUCUGUGCUCCUGCACGAGGCAACCCAGGCUCCCUCUGUGGGCUUGGUGUCUGCUCCGGUUCUUCGGGGGUGGGGCACAUUGGCAGCUCCUUCCUGAGCCCUCUGUGUUCCCUGUGUCUUUCAGUGAAUUCUUCUGCCCAGGUGGGGCCCCUGGCUUUGAGCGGCAUAGGUGAAGCCCUGGUUGGACACAUGUCCUCCUCCUGUCCCUCCGGAUGGUGAGCCUGGAGGAAGACUUGUGUUGGAACCACAGGCCCCAGGCCAGUGUCCAUCAGCCAGGUCCUCAGCUCCCAGUGCGCUGAAGCUUGGACCCAUCCUGGCACCCUGGUCUCCUGUGCUGAGCUGUGGUGAGCAUAUCCAGGUCCAGCUGGAUACAUGCAUGGUGAAGGGGGUGCCCUAGGUUGGUCGAUGCUGAGAACCUUAUAUUGUGCUGAAGAAAGGUGAUGACUUAAAAAUCAUGCUCAAUAGGAUUACGCUGAGGCCCAGCCUAGGGGAGAAUGUUGGAGAGAGGACUCUGGGAUCCCGAGAUACCUGGCAGGGCCACUGUAUUUUGGGCUGGAGAACUUGAGGCCCUGAAGGGCACCUUGGGGGUGCCCAACUCUGUCUCUGUGCACCUCCAUGAGGCAGCCCAGGCUCCCCAUGUGGGAUUGGUGUCCAGGCUCUGGUACCCUGGGGGUGGGGACUUUUGGGGGCUCCUUGCUGAUCCAUGUCCUCUCUUGUAUCUUUUAGUGAGCUAUUCUGCCCAGUUGGACCCCCUGGCAUUGACCGGCAUAGUGAGUUCUUCAGCUCAGAAGGGCCCCUUGACCUUGACCCACAUAGAUGGUAAGCCUGGAUGA
rnacentral:lncRNA from 1 species